rnacentral:rRNA from 1 species
UGGCUCAGGACGAACGCUGGCGGCGUGCUUAACACAUGCAAGUCGAACGGAAAGGCCCUUCGGGGUACUCGAGUGGCGAACGGGUGAGUAACACGUGGGUGAUCUGCCCUGCACUUUGGGAUAAGCCUGGGAAACUGGGUCUAAUACCGAAUAUGACCACGCUCUUCAUGGGGUGUGGUGGAAAGCUUUUGCGGUGUGGGAUGGGCCCGCGGCCUAUCAGCUUGUUGGUGGGGUAAUGGCCUACCAAGGCGACGACGGGUAGCCGGCCUGAGAGGGUGACCGGCCACACUGGGACUGAGAUACGGCCCAGACUCCUACGGGAGGCAGCAGUGGGGAAUAUUGCACAAUGGGCGCAAGCCUGAUGCAGCGACGCCGCGUGAGGGAUGACGGCCUUCGGGUUGUAAACCUCUUUCAAUAGGGACGAAGCGCAAGUGACGGUACCUAUAGAAGAAGCACCGGCCAACUACGUGCCAGCAGCCGCGGUAAUACGUAGGGUGCGAGCGUUGUCCGGAAUUACUGGGCGUAAAGAGCUCGUAGGUGGUUUGUCGCGUUGUUCGUGAAAACUCACAGCUUAACUGUGGGCGUGCGGGCGAUACGGGCAGA